UACGAAGGUCCCGAGCGUUGUUCGGAAUCACUGGGCGUAAAGGGAGCGUAGGCGGCGUGGUAAGUCAGAUGUGAAAUCCCGGGGCUCAACCCCGGAACUGCAUCCGAUACUGCCGUGCUCGAGGGUUGGAGAGGUAGCUGGAAUUAUCGGUGUAGCAGUGAAAUGCGUGGAUAUCGAUAGGAACACUCGUGGCGAAGGCGAGCUACUGGACAACAUCUGACGCUGAGGCUCGAAGGCCAGGGGGAGCAAAAGGG
rnacentral:rRNA from 1 species